rnacentral:tRNA from 1 species
GCGCUGGUGGUUUAGUGGUAGAACGUCAGCCUUCCAAGCUGAACAUCCGGGUUCGAUUCCCGGCCGGCGCA